rnacentral:lncRNA from 1 species
AGUUCCUGCCGGGCAGGCUGGGUAGCCGGACUCCCAGCUGCGCCGUCUUCACGGAAGCGGUGCUGAUGCGGGACCUGGGGGACUGCGGUGCUGGGGACUGGCCAGUCCUACCGGGGGCGGGGCUUGUGGAAGACUGGGCGGGAUUUUGAAGACCUAGGUCUUGUGGAUGGUGAACUCACUUGGGGCGGGGAGGGAGGUGGGGCUACCCUGGGGUCUUGGGCAAAGUCCUCGCCUGGCCGGCUUCGCUACCCUUGUGCUUGCGUUGCCCACAAGCUUGUAGUCAGAAGAACUCGCCUGGGAGGGAUCGCUCCUGGGAGAUCCGAACGCGGGAGGGCCUGGAGCGCGGCGGCAGCUGGAUAGCAUUCGGGCCCAUCCGAAUAAGCGCUACUUGAGAGGCUGAGGCAGAAGGAUCGCUUGAGACCAGGAGUUUGAGGGUGCAGUGAACUAUGAUGGCGCCACCACACUCCAGCCUGGGAGACAGAGUGAGACCCUGUCUCUAAAAGAAAAAAGAAAAUUCAAGAUACAGAGCCAGACAGGAGCCUGGAUGGCCAUCUUUCUUCUGAUAGCAAUAAGCUGGAUGCUGGGAUAGAAGCCUGAUACCUCCUCCAACCCUAGUCCUUGGCCUCUAGUUUACUCGCCUGAGGCAAGGGUAGAGUGGAGGAAGAUUUAGGGAAAGCAAGUAGUCCGUUUUAUUGUUACGGACCAGAGAGGUUGGGGGUGCAGAUGAAACCAACAUCUGGUUGGCCGGGCACGGUGGCUCACACCUGUAAUCCCAGCACUUUGGGAGGCCGAGGCGGGCGGAUCAUGAAGUCAGGAGAUCGAGACCAUCCUAGCUAACACGGUGAAACCCCGUCUCUACUAAAAACACAAAAAAUUUGCCGGGCGUGGUGGCGGGAGCCUGUAGUCUCAGUUACUCAGGAGGCUGAGACAGGAGAAUGGCAUGAACCCGGGAGGCAGAGGUUGCAGUGAGCCGAGAUCGCGCCACUGCACUCCAGCCUGGGUGACAGAGCGAGACUCCAUCUCAAAAAAAAUAAAUAAAUAAAAAUAAAAAAAAUAAAAAAUAAAAAAUUCAUUUGCAAAAAAAAAAAAAAAA